GCGAGGCUGGGGGGAGUGGAUUUUUGAACAGUUACUCAGAAUCUUUCGCUAGCCACAGUGUCACUGAAGCAUGAACAGAGCCUGAGAGGCCAUGAGCUUCACCACCAAACAUCGAAAUUGAAAGAGAUGAGGAAGCAGAAAUAAAGAGGAAAGUAACAAAACUUGUUAGAAUGUCAGAACACUGAGGAUGAAGACUCAGAGCAGACAUUAACAGACAGAAAGAAAAAAUACCUGUCCAGUGGCUGUGCAUUUUCCUUUGACACUGCAGUUGGUUAUGAGACUCUGCCUCUACACGAUAGACUAACUCUAGUUGAGGCAGUAAUGUGUUUAGUUCUUGAAGAGAAUGAGGAUGACCACACACAGACACAUGACUAGGACUUCCUCUUGGAUCUGCUUGGUCUGUUGCAGGAAGAUCAUCCAUCACAUCUUCAAAGUGAUAUGCAACUAUCUACACAGAGUAAAGAAACUCUGUGUCAGAGUGCAUUUAACAACACAUGGAUACUGGCAGAAAUAACAGAUUUGAUGACGGAGGCUUUUGGCAAAGACAAGAACAAGUGCAGUCAGUACUUCACAUUGCACAGACCUACAAGCUGGAGUAUGAGAAUGUCUUCCCUGCCUUGGAUUCAGCUGAUUCACUCAUAUUAAUAAAAAGCUAUGUCAACAUAGAAAAAAAUAAAAUUGCUGAUAUUAUUAUUAGUGAAAUGCGCAAAGCAAACUACCCUGAGAAUGUUCUGACCGUACUGGAGGAUGUUCUGGUGUAUCUGGAAAAAGAGCUUCCUAAACACAACACAUCUAAUCAACAAGCUAAUCUCAGUCGAGAAAAAAAUCCCGGAAGAUUUUGUUGAAAUAGUAAAAAUAAUUGACUUUAAAAACCCAGACAGACAAGUUCUCAAAAGUGAAUUGGUGGAAAUGUCAGUGGCAGUAAAAAUAUGCCCAGCUGUCAUAGUUCAAGAGGGUAAAAAGGAAACAGCAAUUAAAGCAUAUCCUCCCAGAUCAACUCGCAACACUGAUUGUUUUCCUGCUUUCAAAAUCACAAAACUAUAUGGGUUGUCUCCUUGAAAUUGGCACAGGUAAAGGAAUAUCCUGUAUCAUAGCCAUGCUUGCUACAAUCCAUACCAUUCGGGGUGUAAAGAUGGAUCCUGUGACGAGCUCCCUGGUCCUCGCCUAUUGUGAUUUAGAGGAAUGGAGAGAACUGUAUGAAAUGUUUGACUUAACAUCAUCUGCUGUUCCUCCGAUGCUGAAUGAUGUCUCAUCUGAGGAACUGACUCAAGAAGCAUACAGACAACAAAUCAUUUACAGUACUGUUGGGACUUUUGCAGCAGAUACACUGAAACAAGAGUUUGAGAAGAAAACAACUCAAGGAGACAGGAGGUUUGAGCUGGUAAUUGUAGAUGAGGUGGACUACAUGACCUUGAAUAAUGGAGUUCAAAUAACAUUCCUGUCCCAUGAAUCCAGUGGCCUCCAGCAUUUGGAGCAGGUCCUUGCAGGCAUCUGGGCCAUGAUAUCCACAUGUCGAUCAAUUGAGGUAGAACAGCUUGGAGAGACCCUGUGGACAACAAGAGUCCAGAAUUUUCACACAGCUGCUCUGAUAGCAAUGAUUGGUCCAGAUAAAAGUGAUAGAUUUUCACCACUAGAGAUUCUGUUGCCAGGAAUUUAAUUUUUUAAAUUUGGAGGUCUCUAUUAGCAAUGAUGGAGAAAAUUGAGACAUUAAUAAUGAUGCAUGGAAAACCACCAUGAGGAAAACUGGCAUAGAACAACGGUAUGACCUGCUCAGUGUUCUUGAGAUGGGAAUGGUGAACAAGCUGGCAUUUAACUGUUACACAUAUCAGCCAGAAACUAGAAAAUCCAUUCAGUUCUGAGAGCAAAAGACAAAAACUGGCCAAAAUAUAAACCUACUGUUAUUGGAAAAUGGAAACUUGUGAAAUAUUGUCUGAAGAUUUACUUGUUAAAGCCACCAUUCAUGAGUUGAAGUUCAAGAUUAAAUAUUCUAAACAAUGAAAUUCCAAACAAGAAAAAAAAAACUAUUGUAAUCCCUUUUUUCUUAGAAAACACCUGGAAAAUCAGCUGCCAGUGUUUGUGGAGAAUGCACUGAAGGCCAUUCAGAUGACCAAAGGCAAAGAGUACAUGAUCGAGAGAUGUCUUAGUGCUCAGGGAAUAGACGUUAGUAAAGAUCAACGCAUAUAUCAUGCAAUAAUCCCAGUGGACUUUCAGGCUAGUGGAAUGUUGGAGAAAAGUAAACGGUGGGGUGAUGGACUACAAUCAUUUCUGGAAAUGAAGCAUCAGUUAUCUUCAUUGCCAUUAACAAAUGUGACAAACUACAUUUCAAAUUCACAUUUCUUUAAAAGAUAGCUUGGUGAGAAAGGGAUAAGGGUGUUUCUGGAACAGUUCGGAACACUUCAGAAGUUCAACAAGGAACAGAUCAUCAUUAUGACCAACCAACACAUUUAAGAGCAUUUUCUCACUGGGGUCCAGGAAACGUUUCCGAGCACACUUGGCCCCGGGACACAGUUGAUUUUUGUCUGUGAGCAUGCAAUCGUUCCAAGUUUGGGAACCAAUUUCUGGACCAAUUGCAGAUGUGGUCUCGGGAACGAUUCAUGCGUUCCCAAACACGGAAGGCGGGACAUAAGAUGCGCUCAUGCUCAAAAGUGGAAGUGAUGUAAUUACUGUUUGAGCCCGUACAUAAACAAACGUGGCUGCUAAGAAAUCGAAGUACAGUAUUUUCUGGAAAUUCAUACAGAACGAAAUACCCAAAGAUAUUUAGACACUACACAUAAAAAAUCAGAUAUUUACGGAAGUAUCCGCAAGUAUUUACAUGUGCCCGUGUACAGCAGCACUGAACGAUGCUGUGCAGAGUUAGUGGAGCCUGGUCCAGCAGAGAGCCUGCGAGUGAACAACAGACACUAGAGAAAACACAGACUGAGACCUCUGACAGUUGCACAAGACGGGCUAACAACAGAAGAAAGAGGAAAAACCUGAUGUGCAAGAACAGAAGACUCAUGGUGCCUGGAUGAAAUCUCAAAUUUAGAUGGAGGAGCGCUGACCACAGAUACAGAGGAAGGAACAUCAUAGUUUCAUUAACAUACACUUGCUAUGCAAGUACAAGUAAAUAUAAAAAUACGCUACAUUUAAAUGUUUACUUUUUUCUCCUAUUUGACAGCUACUUUUGUUAUAAAAUAUACUUGAAUUAUAUUUUGAUUGAAUAAUUUUUAAUAAAACAUUUUGCACUCUGUC